UAAUCCAGAAUUCUGAAUGGUUUUAUUCAGUCUAGGUUAGCUUCAGGUGAAAACUACCAAUUUCGGCCAAUUUUCUCGCGUUUAUUACGGGUUUUCUCACUAUUUCUUUCCACAAUUUUCCGUAUUUUCCUACUUUUUACCG
ensembl:ncRNA F58H1.11 ncRNA